AGAGUUUGAUCAUGGCUCAGAUUGAACGCUGGCGGCAUGCUUUACACAUGCAAGUCGAACGGCAGCGGGGGCUUCGGCCUGCCGGCGAGUGGCGAACGGGUGAGUAAUGCAUCGGAACGUACCCAGUCAUGGGGGAUAACUACGCGAAAGCGUAGCUAAUACCGCAUACGCCCUGAGGGGGAAAGCGGGGGAUCGCAAGACCUCGCGUGAUUGGAGCGGCCGAUGUCGGAUUAGCUAGUUGGUGGGGUAAAGGCCUACCAAGGCGACGAUCCGUAGCGGGUCUGAGAGGAUGAUCAGCCACACUGGGACUGAGACACGGCCCAGACUCCUACGGGAGGCAGCAGUGGGGAAUAUUGGACAAUGGGCGAAAGCCUGAUCCAGCCAUGCCGCGUGAGUGAUGAAGGCCCUAGGGUUGUAAAGCUCUUUCAACGGUGAAGAUAAUGACGGUAACCGUAGAAGAAGCCCCGGCUAACUUCGUG
rnacentral:rRNA from 1 species